AUUGAACGCUGGCGGCAGGCCUAACACAUGCAAGUCGAGCGAGCGGCGGACGGGUGAGUAAUGUAUGGGGACUGCCCGAUAGAGGGGGAUAACUACUGUAAACGGUGGCUAAUACCGCAUACUGUCUGAGAACCCAUAUGGGAGUAGCUAGUAGGUAAGGUAAUAGGUUACCUAGUCGACGAUCCCUAGCGGGUCUGAGAGGAUGAUCAGCAACACUGGGACUGGGACACGGCCCAGACUCCUACGGAGGCAGCAGUGGGGAAUAUUGCACAAUGGGCGCAAGCCUGAUGCAGCCAUGCCGCGUGUAUGAAGAAGGCCCUAGGGUUGUAAAGUACUUUCAGUCGGGAGGCGUUACCGACAGAAGAAGCACCGGCUAACUCCGUGCCAGCAGCCGCGGUAAUUC
rnacentral:rRNA from 1 species